rnacentral:rRNA from 1 species
GAUGAACGCUAGCGGGAGGCCUAACACAUGCAAGCCGAGCGGUAGAGAUUCUUCGGAAUCUUGAGAGCGGCGUACGGGUGCGGAACACGUGUGCAACCUACCUUUAUCUGGAGGAUAGCCUUUCGAAAGGAAGAUUAAUACUCCGUAAUAUAUUGAUUGGCAUCAAUUGAUAUUGAAAGCUCCGGCGGAUAGAGAUGGGCACGCGCAAGAUUAGUUAGUUGGUGAGGUAACGGCUCACCAAGACGAUGAUCUUUAGGGGCCUGAGAGGUGAUCCCCACACUGGUACUGAGACACGGACCAGACUCCUACGGGAGGCAGCAGUGAGGAAUAUUGGUCAAUGGGUGCAAGCCUGAACCAGCCAUCCCGCGUGAAGGACGAACUGCCCCUAUGGGUUGUAAACUUCUUUUGUAUAGGGAUAAACCUACCCUCGUGAGGGUAGCUGAAGGUACUAUACGAAUAAGCACCGGCUAACUCCGUGCCAGCAGCCGCGGUAAU